AGAUUUCAUAUGUUAAAAACGCAUACUAGUCUUAAAAUUGAGAUAGUUUGGUGAAACAUGUAAUUUGGUUAUUACUGAUCAGACUUGUAUCAAGUUUCAACAUAGGAAAUCUAGUUAUAACUACGCAUAUGUGGCCUCGAAUCUCCACAUCACGAUCAAUCUAGUACACUUCUUAUUUUUAUUUUGUUCAUGUGAGACGUUGGUAGGUACGGUACAGUGUCUAUGUGUAAAACUGUAUAAAAUGUGUGUGGUGUAUGUAUAUGUCGCACGGUCGAAAUAGAAUUGAAAACGCAUGCACACGAACCACCCGUGAGUCAACAAACCAAAUGGUUUGUGUGAUUGGUUGACACGUGCGAGGCUCUCUACUCCAGAUGUUUUAUCAAGCCUCGUCGUAUUCCUUAUAUAAAGUCACCGUUGGCUGCGUGGAUCCUCCACCUCCACUGUAUAUCUUCUUCUAUAAAGUAUCUAGGGUUCCUCAGUCCUCCUUCACAAAAAUAUCCUAUUUUUCUUAUAAGCUCUUAAGAAUAAUAUUGAGACUAAAAAAAAUAAAAAAUACAUGGUAGAUAUCAGAAGAGAAGACGGAGAUGAUGAUGAUCAAAAGUGGUUGGGUUCGAUGCUAGGCUUGUCAAAGUUCAGGAACUACCCCUUUGUCCAUUGAAAGAUGUUAUGCAUGCAAAUUAUAUUUAGUUUUUUAAGUAAACAUUAGUUUUAUCAUGGGGUUCAAUGUUGACCAGUAAUUAAAAUAGAUCACUGCUAUUUAUAAUA